GACGAACGCUGGCGGCGUGCUUAACACAUGCAAGUCGAACGGAGGAUUUAUUUCGGUAAAUCCUUAGUGGCGAACGGGUGAGUAACGCGUGGGCGAUCUGCCCUUCAGAUGGGGACAACAUCCCGAAAGGGGUGCUAAUACCGAAUACGAUCACGCUGCCGCAUGGCGGUGUGAUGAAAGAUGGCCUCUAUUUAUAAGCUAUCGCUGAAGGAUGAGCCUGCGUCUGAUUAGCUAGUUGGUGGGGUAACGGCCUACCAAGGCGAUGAUCAGUAGCCGGUCUGAGAGGAUGAACGGCCACAUUGGGACUGAGACACGGCCCAAACUCCUACGGGAGGCAGCAGUGGGGAAUAUUCCGCAAUGGACGAAAGUCUGACGGAGCAACGCCGCGUGAGUGAUGAAGGUUUUCGGACUGUAAAGCUCUGUUGUUUAGGACGAAAGUGCCUGUUGCAAAUAGUUACAGGUAUUGACGGUACUGAACGAGGAAGCCACGGCUAACUACGUGCCAGCCGCCGCCGUAA
rnacentral:rRNA from 1 species